rnacentral:misc_RNA from 1 species
UUUCCGUAGGUGAACCUGCGGAAGGAUCAUUCAUAAUAAAGUGUUUUAUGGCACUUUUUAAAAAUCCAUAUCCACCUUGUGUGCAAUGUUAGAUCUCGUCAAUCUUGGCGAGAUUUUUAUACAUCAACUCAUUCUUUAACUAAUUUGUCUGAAAAAUAUUAUGAAUACUUAAUUCAAAAUACAACUUUCAACAACGGAUCUCUUGGCUCUCGCAUCGAUUAAGAACGCAGC